UCGGCUUAGAGUUUGAUCCUGGCUCAGGAUGAACGCUGGCGGCGUGCCUAAUACAUGCAAGUCGAACGAAACUUCUUUAUCACCGAGUGCUUGCACUCACCGAUGAAGAGUUGAGUGGCGAACGGGUGAGUAACACGUGGGCAACCUGCCCAAAAGAGGGGGAUAACACUUGGAAACAGGUGCUAAUACCGCAUAACCAUAGUUACCGCAUGGUAACUAUGUAAAAGGUGGCUAUGCUACCGCUUUUGGAUGGGCCCGCGGCGCAUUAGCUAGUUGGUGAGGUAAAGGCUUACCAAGGCAAUGAUGCGUAGCCGAACUGAGAGGUUGAUCGGCCACAUUGGGACUGAGACACGGCCCAAACUCCUACGGGAGGCAGCAGUAGGGAAUCUUCCACAAUGGGCGAAAGCCUGAUGGAGCAACGCCGCGUGGGUGAAGAAGGUCUUCGGAUCGUAAAACCCUGUUGUUAGAGAAGAAAGUGCGUGAGAGUAACUGUUCACGUUUCGACGGUAUCUAACCAGAAAGCCACGGCUAACUACGUGCCAGCAGCCGCGGUAAUACGUAGGUGGCAAGCGUUAUCCGGAUUUAUUGGGCGUAAAGGGAACGCAGGCGGUCUUUUAAGUCUGAUGUGAAAGCCUUCGGCUUAACCGGAGUAGUGCAUUGGAAACUGGGAGACUUGAGUGCAGAAGAGGAGAGUGGAACUCCAUGUGUAGCGGUGAAAUGCGUAGAUAUAUGGAAGAACACCAGUGGCGAAAGCGGCUCUCUGGUCUGUAACUGACGCUGAGGUUCGAAAGCGUGGGGAGCAAACAGAU
rnacentral:rRNA from 1 species